rnacentral:rRNA from 1 species
CAAAUGGAGAGUUUGAUCCUGGCUCAGGAUGAACGCUGGCGGCAUGCCUAAUACAUGCAAGUCGAACGAGAGGAAAAGGAGCUUGCUUCUUUAAAUCUAGUGGCGAACGGGUGAGUAACACGUAGGUAACCUGC